rnacentral:piRNA from 1 species
UGUGACUUCUUCAUUUGUUGU